rnacentral:tRNA from 1 species
GGAGAGGUGUCCGAGUGGUUGAAGGAGCUACCCUGGAAAGGUAGUAUGUGGGCAACUGCAUCGAGGGUUCGAAUCCCUCUCUCUCCGCCA